CAAAUCUCAGACCUGGAAGCGGUGCACAAACUGGACCAACAAGCACAGACCUACAGGACCCUGAUAGCGACUAGAAAACAGUUGGCAGAGAUCUUAGAACGCAGACAUGCAAGAACAAUACAGCGUUCGCGCGCCUUCUUUUACACACACGCCAACAAAGGAGGCAAACUCCUAGCACAGAUGCUGAGAGGCACACAGGGCAGGGCACAGGUACAAGCUAUACGCACCACACACAACCGUACCACACAAUUUCCGGAAGAAAUUGCGAAUGAAUUUAAAAAGUUCUAUAC